GGGCCCUUAGCUCAGUUGGUCAGAGCAGCUGACUCAUAAUCAGCGGGUCGGAGGUUCGAGUCCUCCAGGGCCCACAA
rnacentral:tRNA from 4 species